rnacentral:rRNA from 1 species
GUGUCAGCCGCCGCGGUAAUACGAAUGGGGCAAGCGUUGUUCGGAUUUACUGGGCGUAAAGCGGGCGUAGGCGGCCGGCUAAGUCGGAUGUGAAAUCCCGGGGCUCAACUCCGGAACUGCAUUCGAUACUGGUCGGCUAGAGUUCGAGAGGGGGAUGCGGAAUUCCGCGUGUAGCAGUGAAAUGCGUAGAUAUGCGGAGGAACACCUGAGGCGAAGGCGGCAUCCUGGAUCGACACUGACGCUGAGGCCCGAAAGCGUGGGGAGCAAACAGGAUUAGAUACCCUGGUAGUCCACGCCCUAAACGAUGUCUACUAGCCGUUGCGGGUAUCGACCCCCGCAGUGGCGCAGCUAACGCGAUAAGUAGACCGCCUGGGGAGUACGGCCGCAAGGUUAAAACUUAAAGGAAUUGGCGGGG